UACAUAGGGUGCAAGCGUUGUCCGGAAUUAUUGGGCGUAAAGAGCUCGUAUGCCGUUUGCCUGGUCUAUUGUGAAAAUCUGAGGCUCAACCUCAGACCUGCUUUCGAUACUGGCUUACUUUAGUGUGGUUGGGGAGAGUGGAAUUCCUGGUGGAACGGUGGAAUGCGCCCAUAUCAGGAGGAACACCAAUGGUUGAGGCCGUCCUCUGGUUCCUAAAUGAUACUGAUGAGCGAAAGUGCGGAGAGCGAACAUGAUUAAAUACCCUGGUAAUCCGCGCCGGAAAUCAUGGGGACUAUCUGUGAGAGCCUUCCACGGUUCUCGCGACGCAGCACAUGCAUUAUGUGCCCCGCCUGGGGAGUGCAAUCGCAUGAUUAUAACUCAGAGGAUUUGUGGGGGGCCCGCACAAGGCUCGCAGCAUGCGUCUUAAUUCGACCCAAUGCGCAGAACCUUAUCCAGGGUUGAGAUAUAUCCAAUAAUGUCAAAGAUGUCAUGUGCGCUCGGGCGCUAUACAGGUGGUGCAUGGUUGUCGUCCAGUCGUGUUCUGAGAAGGUGGGUUAAGUUCCGCAACGAGCGCAAACCUCGGUCUGUGUUACCAGCCAUCAGUUGGGGACUCACAAGAGACCGCCGGGGUCAACUCGGAGGAAGGUGGGGAUGACGUCAAAUCAUCAUGGCCCCUAUGUCCAGGGCUGCACGCCUCCUACAAAGUCCGGUUCAAAGUGCUGUGAAAUCGUAAGAAUUAACGAAACACAUAAAAGCCGUUUCAGGUUGGAAUGAGGUAUGCAACUUGACCUCAUGAAGUCGGAGUUGCUAGUUAUUGUAGAUCAACAACGCUGGGGUGAAUUCGUUCCCGGGGCU
rnacentral:rRNA from 1 species